ACAGUUUACUUCUUCCAUUCGAACAGAACGCAUAAGUGACGGUGUCACAGCGUAUAUACAAAAAAGUGAAAUUAUCUUUUUUUAAAUGAAAAUUAUCUCGUUUUAGAGAAUAAUUAAUUAAAAACAACUCGAAUUUUAAUAUCACAAAAACAUAAAACAAAACAGUAAAGACUUUUACGCGUGUGUUUCAUUUUAAGUAAAAGAAGUUUGAAUAAAAACUUAAAAAAUUAUUAUGAAGUUUAAGUGAAGCGUUGAAGAAAUCAUUAAUAAACAAACGACUUUUUUAUUAAAAAAAGAAAGAAAAACAAAAAAUUAAUUGAUUAUAACAAGUGUUUCUUUUUUGUGAUUGAUACGGUUUUAAGACUCUGCCAAAAUGUUUGAUGUUUUUGGCUCCGUUAAGGGGCUGUUGAAAAUCGAUCAAGUCUGUAUCGAUAACAAUGUCUUUCGUAUGCAUUACAAAGCGACGGUUAUCAUUUUGAUAGCCUUUUCGCUGUUGGUCACCUCCAGACAGUACAUUGGUGAUCCCAUCGAUUGUAUAGUUGACGAAAUUCCACUGGGUGUUAUGGACACCUACUGUUGGAUUUAUUCCACAUUUACGGUGCCCGAACGUUUGACGGGUAUAACGGGUCGCGAUGUUGUGCAGCCGGGCGUAGGAUCUCACGUGGAAGGCGAAGAUGAAGUCAAGUAUCAUAAGUACUAUCAGUGGGUGUGUUUCGUGCUCUUUUUCCAAGCUAUAUUGUUCUAUGUGCCACGUUAUUUGUGGAAAUCAUGGGAAGGUGGUCGCUUGAAAAUGUUAGUCAUGGAUCUUAACAGUCCCAUUGUGAAUGAAGAGUGUAAAAAUGAUCGGAAAAAGAUCUUGGUGCAAUACUUUGUGGACAACAUCAAUCGUCACAACUUCUAUGCAUUCCGUUUCUUCUUAUGCGAAGCCCUAAAUUUCAUCAAUGUCAUUGGUCAAAUCUAUUUUGUGGAUUUCUUUUUGGAUGGCGAAUUCUCCACUUAUGGCAGUGAUGUCUUAAAAUUCACCGAAAUGGAACCUGAUGAACGUGUUGACCCUAUGGCGCGUGUCUUUCCUAAAGUCACUAAAUGUACAUUCCACAAAUAUGGUCCUUCUGGUUCGGUGCAGAAGUUCGACGGUCUCUGUGUGCUGCCUUUGAAUAUUGUCAAUGAGAAAAUCUAUGUCUUCCUGUGGUUCUGGUUCAUAAUCUUGUCUAUUUUGUCUGGUAUUUCGUUGGUCUAUCGCAUUGCUGUUGUCAUGGGUCCCAAAUUGAGACAUUUGCUGUUGCGCGCCCGUUCCCGUUUGGCCGAAGUCGAGGAGGUGGAAGCGGUGGCUAAGCAGUGUAAUAUUGGCGAUUGGUUCUUAUUGUACCAAUUGGGCAAAAAUAUCGAUCCCUUAAUCUAUAAAGAAGUGAUAGCUGAUCUCUCCCACGAACUAGGUGGUAAUACAGGUCAUAAACAACGUAUGGACCCCUAAGUAACGAAUGAACAACAACUUAAUGUUCUAACAUCGUUGUCAUCAUCAACAUUGUUAUGAUCGUAAUAAUUUCUAAUCAUCAUCAUAUGAUGAGGAAAUUAAUUUGUAGGAAGGCGCUCAAUUAAGCUCAACUUUUAUUAAAAAUGAACCCGUGAGAGCUGUAAUUAGAGUGUCUUCAACAAUAAAUCCUUUAUAAACAACGAUAUAAAAUUCAUGAAUAUCAUAUUCAAACAGGCCAGAACCUGUGACAAAAUAUAUAAAAGACAACAAUAAUUAUUUUUUAAAAACAAUAAAGCAAA
rnacentral:misc_RNA from 1 species